UACGUAGGUGGCAAGCGUUGUCCGGAUUUACUGGGCGUAAAGAGCGCGCAGGCGGUCGUUCAAGUCGCGUGUGAAAGCCCCCGGCUCAACUGGGGAGGGUCACGCGAUACUGAUCGACUCGAAGGCAGGAGAGGGUAGUGGAAUUCCCGGUGUAGUGGUGAAAUGCGUAGAUAUCAGGAAGAACACCCGUGGCGAAGGCGGCUCUCUGGGCCGAUACUGACGCUGAGGAGCGAAAGCGUGGGGAGCGAACAGG
rnacentral:rRNA from 1 species